rnacentral:rRNA from 1 species
ACAGUCACACAUUAGAUACCCGUGUAGUCCCAGCCGUAAACUAUGCUCGCUAGGUGUCAGGCAUGGCGCGACCGUGUCUGGUGCCGCAGGGAAGCCGUGAAGCGAGCCACCUGGGAAGUACGGCCGCAAGGCUGAAACUUAAAGGAAUUGGCGGGGAGCACAACAACGGGUGGAGCCUGCGGUUUAAUUGGACUCAACGCCGGACAACUCACCGGGGACGACAGCAAUAUGUAGGCCAGGCUGAAGACCUUGCCUGAAUCGCUG